AAGGAUUCCCUUAGUGACCUGCGUAGUGAAAUGGGAUGAGCUCAAAUUUGAAAUCUGGUAGUCUCUGGCUGCCCGAGUUGUAAUCUAAAAAAGUGUUUCCUGUGCUGGACUGUGUUUAAGUUCCCUGGAUAUGGAACAUCAUAGAGGGUGAGAAUCCCGUCCUUAAUACAGACUCUCCAGUACUAUGUGAUGCACUCUCAACGAGUCGAGUUGCUGUGUUUAAGUUCCCUGGAUAUGGAACAUCAUAGAGGGUGAGAAUAGCGAACAAGUACCGUGAGGGAAAGAUGAAAAGCACUUUGGAAAGAGAGUUAAACAGUACGUGAAAUUGUUAAAAGGGAAACAAUUGAAGUCAGUGCAUCUACUUGGACUCAGCCUUACUUUUGGUCUGGUGCAUUUCCUUGUGGAUGGGCCAGUGUUCACUUCAUGUUGAUUACUGGAAAAGGGGCUAGGGAAUGUGGCUCUUUUGGGAGUGUUAUAGCCUUGGCUCAUACAGUAAUUAAUAUGGAGUGGUACAGCAUGCUUCGGUGGUGCUUGUGCUGGCAUAAUGGCUUUAAAUGACCCGUCUUGAAACACGGACCAAGGAGUCUAACAUGUCUGCAAGUAUUUGGGUGAUAAACUCAAAUGCGUAAUGAAAGUGAUAGCUGGGAACCCUGAAAAGGGGGCACCAGUACCCCGAGCGGAUCUUUCUGUUUNCCUACACANNUACCCACGUGUCUGUUANNA
rnacentral:rRNA from 1 species